GGCCGGUUGGCGCAAUGGAAGCGCGCUAGUUUUCGGCAGGAGCGACCCACUCAUGUGGUAGUUGUUCUGAAAUGAUACACUAGAGGUUGAGGGUUCGAGCCCCUUGCUGGUCG